rnacentral:rRNA from 1 species
UAGGGAAUCUUCGGCAAUGGGGGCAACCCUGACCGAGCAACGCCGCGUGAGUGAAGAAGGUUUUCGGAUCGUAAAGCUCUGUUGUAAGAGAAGAACGUGUGUGAGAGUGGAAAGUUCACACAGUGACGGUAACUUACCAGAAAGGGACGGCUAACUACGUGCCAGCAGCCGCGGUAAUACGUAGGUCCCGAGCGUUGUCCGGAUUAUUGGGCGUAAAGCGAGCGCAGGCGGUUUAAUAAGUCUGAAGUUAAAGGCAGUGGCUUAACCAUUGUUCGCUUUGGAAACUGUGAAACUUGAGUGCAGAAGGGGAGAGUGGAAUUCCAUGUGUAGAGGUGAAAUGCGUAGAUAUAUGGAGGAACACCGGUGGCGAAAGCGGCUCUCUGGUCUGUAACUGACGCUGAGGCUCGAAAGCGUGGGGAGCAAACAGG